CAGUCGCCGCGGUAAUACAGAGGAUGCAAGCGUUAUCCGGAAUGAUUGGGCGUAAAGCGUGCGCAGGCGGUUUUGUAAGACAGGCGUGAAAUCCCCGGGCUCAACCUGGGAAUGGCGCUUGUGACUGCAAAGCUAGAGUGCGGCAGAGGGGGAUGGAAUUCCGCGUGUAGCAGUGAAAUGCGUAGAUAUGCGGAGGAACACCGAUGGCGAAGGCAAUCCCCUGGGCCUGCACUGACGCUCAUGCACGAAAGCGUGGGGAGCAAACAGGAUUAGAUACCCCUGUAGUCCCUGUCCCUUAUAC
rnacentral:rRNA from 1 species